AUGCACGCUGGCGGCGUGCCUAAUACCUGCCAGUCGAGCGAACAGAUGAGGAGCUUGCUCCUCUGACGUUAGCGGCGGACGGGUGAGUAACACGUGGAUAACCUACCUAUAAGACUGGGAUAACUUCGGGAAACCGGAGCUAAUACCGGAUAAUAUAUUGAACCGCAUGGUUCAAUAGUGAAAGACGGUUUUGCUGUCACUUAUAGAUGGAUCCGCGCCGCAUUAGCUAGUUGGUAAGGUAACGGCUUACCAAGGCAACGAUGCGUAGCCGACCUGAGAGGGUGAUCGGCCACACUGGAACUGAGACACGGUCCAGACUCCUACGGGAGGCAGCAGUAGGGAAUCUUCCGCAAUGGGCGAAAGCUUGACGGAGCAACGCCGCGUGAGUGAUGAAGGUCUUCGGAUCGUAAAACUCUGUUAUUAGGGAAGAACAAAUGUGUAAGUAACUAUGCACGUCUUGACGGUACCUAAUCAGAAAGCCACGGCUAACUACGUG
rnacentral:rRNA from 1 species